GACGAACGCUGGCGGCGUGCUUAACACAUGCAAGUCGAACGGAAAGGCCCUGCUUUUGUGGGGUGCUCGAGUGGCGAACGGGUGAGUAACACGUGAGUAACCUGCCCUUGACUUUGGGAUAACUUCAGGAAACUGGGGCUAAUACCGGAUAGGAGCUCCUGCUGCAUGGUGGGGGUUGGAAAGUUUCGGCGGUUGGGGAUGGACUCGCGGCUUAUCAGCUUGUUGGUGGGGUAGUGGCUUACCAAGGCUUUGACGGGUAGCCGGCCUGAGAGGGUGACCGGCCACAUUGGGACUGAGAUACCGCCCAGACUCCUACGGGCGGCAGCAGUGGGUAAUAUUGCACAAUGGGCGGAAGCCUGAUGCAGCAACGCCGCGUGCGGGAUGACGGCCUUCGGGUUGUAAACCGCUUUCGCCUGUGACGAAGCGUGAGUGACGGUAAUGGGUAAAGAAGCACCGGCUAACUACGUG
rnacentral:rRNA from 1 species